rnacentral:lncRNA from 1 species
AGCUUAGCCACCUUGCUUCAUGCCACCCCAUGGCAUUUUCUUCUACUAAUGGUGAGAAGUCUUGAGAUUCUUCUUCUCCAAUAAAAGAUUUCUGUGGAUAGACUAGAAGCUGGCCUUCACAGGAUGUUUGGGUGCAGGCAAAUGGAGGGAUUACGUUUCCUUCCCAACUUCCAGUUGGAGAGGAGUCUGAAAACUAGUUCUAGCCAAUGGGCUCUGAAAACAAGAGACGUGCUCAGGUGUGUAAUUUCAUCAUGUAAUCACUGGCAUGGGACCCUGCCUUCUCUCUCCUCCUUCUGUGAUGUGGAAAUUAUUA